rnacentral:rRNA from 1 species
UACGGGGGGGGCAAGCGUUGUCCGGAAUUACUGGGCGUAAAGAGCUCGUAGGUGGUUUGUCGCGUUGUCCGUGAAAACUCACAGCUCAACUGUGGGCGUGCGGGCGAUACGGGCAGACUGGAGUACUGCAGGGGAGACUGGAAUUCCUGGUGUAGCGGUGGAAUGCGCAGAUAUCAGGAGGAACACCGGUGGCGAAGGCGGGUCUCUGGGCAGUAACUGACGCUGAGGAGCGAAAGCGUGGGGAGCGAACAGG